GUAGGUGGCAAGCGUUGUCCGGAAUUAUUGGGCGUAAAGCGCGCGCAGGCGGUUCUUUAAGUCUGAUGUGAAAGCCCACGGCUCAACCGUGAGGGUCAUUGGAAACUGGAGAACUUGAGUACAGAAGAGGAAAGCGGAAUUCCACGUGUAGCGGUGAAAUGCGUAGAGAUGUGGAGGAACACCAGUGGCGAAGGCGGCUUUCUGGUCUGUAACUGACGCUGAGGCGCGAAAGCGUGGGGAGCAAACAGGGAUUAGAUACCCUGGUAGUCCACGCCGUAAACGAUGAGUGCUAAGUGUUAGGGGGUUUCCGCCCCCUUAGUGCUGCAGCUAACGCAUUAAGCACUCCGCCUGGGAGUACGGCGCAAGGCUG
rnacentral:rRNA from 1 species